rnacentral:rRNA from 1 species
CACGCCGUAAACGAUGAGUACUAAGUGUCGGGGGAGACCUCGGUGCUGAAGUUAACGCAUUAAGUACUCCGCCUGGGAAGUACGGUCGCAAGACUGAAACUCAAAGGAAUUGACGGGGACCCGCACAAGCGGUGGAGCAUGUGGUUUAAUUCGACGCAACGCGAAGAACCUUACCAGGCCUUGACAUCCUGCUGACCGGUAUAGAGAUAUACCUUUCCUUCGGGACAGCAGAGACAGGUGG